rnacentral:rRNA from 1 species
GACGAACCGUGCGAACGUUAUUCGGAAUCACUGGGCUUAAAGCGCGUGUAGGCGGGAGGGCACGUCCGUUGCUGAAAUCCCCGGCUCAACCGGGGAACGGGCGCGGAUACGACUCUCCUUGAGGGGCGUAGGGGACCUGGAACUUCCGGUGGAGCGGUGAAAUGCGUUGAGAUCGGAAGGAACGCCCGUGGCGAAAGCGAGGUCCUGGACGCCUACUGACGCUGAGACGCGAAAGCCAGGGGAGCGAACGGG